rnacentral:lncRNA from 1 species
GAGAAGGACUGAGUGACUGCCGACGAUGGACGCUCAGGAUCCACUCCACAAACCCAACUCCAAUCCCAAUGCACCACCGCCAUCUUCCACCACCAACAACAACCACCACCACCCUCCUCAUCCUCCUCCGACCGCCGGCGCCAACUCCAAAUCCACCUCCAUCUUCAAUGCGCGCCCCUCGGCGCCUCACCCUGGCGGA